UACGUAGGGGGCUAGCGUUGUUCGGAAUUACUGGGCGUAAAGCGCACGUAGGCGGCUACUCAAGUCAGAGGUGAAAGCCCAGGGCUCAACCUUGGAACUGCCUUUGAAACUAGGUAGCUAGAAUUCUGGAGAGGUCAGUGGAAUUCCGAGUGUAGAGGUGAAAUUCGUAGAUAUUCGGAAGAACACCAGUGGCGAAGGCGACUGACUGGACAGAUAUUGACGCUGAGGUGCGAAAGCGUGGGGAGCAAACAGG
rnacentral:rRNA from 1 species